rnacentral:lncRNA from 1 species
UGAUUGGGAAGGUUUUGAUGCUUUUACUUGCAGUUCUUUAAUCUUCUUUUGAAACUGCAAACUGUGGACUUGUUCGUCAUCUAUUUUGGCUUGUAACUGACUGAGUUCAAACUCCUUCCUGCAAAUAGAUUAAAAAAAAAUAAAGAACAUGAAAUACAAGCCUCUUGGAGGGGGUGAAAGUUGGCUUUUAGGCUGAGACACAGAGGUGGUAAAAGAAAUAUCUACUUUUUCAAUUUCUCUUCUAUUUGCUGCUUGUCAUUUUCUAGAUCCAUAAUGGAUUCCUGGGACAUUUUCAGAUCUCCUUCCAGCUUCCUCUUCGCCCUUUCCAAGUCCGCCCGCAGUUUCUUCUCCUGCUCUAAGGAACCCUCAAGCUGAGAAGACACACAGAGACAAGGGCUUGCUCUGUUGCCCAAGCUAAAGUGCAGUGGUGUGAGUGUAGCCCACUGCAUCCUCACACUCCUGUGCUCAAGUGAUCCUCCCACCUCAGCCUCCCAAGUAGCUGGAACUACAAGAUGGAGUCUCGCUGCGAUGCCCAGGCUGGAGUGCAAUGGUGCAAUCUUGGCUCACUGCAACCUUCGUUUCCCAGGUUUAAGCAAUUCUCCUGCCUCAGCCUCCCAAGUAUCUGGGACUACAGGCGAGCGUCACCAUGCCUGGCUAAUUUUUGUAUUUUUAGUAGAGAUGUUUAGUAGAGAGUUUCACCAUAUUGGCCAGGCUGGUCUUGAACUCCUGACCUCAAGGGAUCCGCCCACCUUGGCCUCUCAAAGUGCUGGGAUUACAGGCGUGAGCCACCGUGCCUGGCAAUGUUUGUAGUUUCUUUCAUGAAUUUACCUCCUUUUAUUCUUUAAUCCCUGCUUAUCUCUAAAGAGUAAGUAACUGAAAGUAAUAAAACGGAAUUUUCUCAACAAUAUUUUAUAAGUUGAUUUCUUUUUCUUUCCUACAGGAAACAACCCAAUUUGCCAUCUUAAUUUGGAGUCUACUUUUUCUGAAUGACUCAGUUUUCUCUGAUACUUAAUCAAGAUGCAGCCUUGGGGGAAAAUGUCAUGUCCCAGUCUCCCCCAUGUUCCUUUCCCUUCAUCCCACUUUGUCCCCGGGGUCUAGCAUGACUGUGUGUUUGGAUUGGGGAAGUGAAGGCAGGAAAGUCGCUUCCCCAAAUCCGCAUCCACACAGGGUCUUAUGUUAGAGUUGAUGUUAUCUCUAGGCGAGGUUAUGCAAUGUAGUUACAGAGACAUUGUGAUUAGAUUCAAAGAAAAUGAUUUUCAUCAUUGAAGUUUACGCAUGUGCCCAUUUCCUAUUUAUUACAUUCCCUGGCCCAGAGGACAUUAGGCUUUCAUUUUUAAAAAAUGAUCUCAUUAUCUAAUGAAUAAUUAUAUUUCAUAUAUUUUAUUAAUUUAUUAAAUGUAUGCAUUUAAAAUGGCAUAUAAUGUUAAAACUCUAUGUUGGCUACUAUUUAAAAGUAUAUUUACUGGUAAUCU